UAGGGAAUCUUCGGCAAUGGACGAAAGUCUGACCGAGCAACGCCGCGUGAGUGAAGAAGGUUUUCGGAUCGUAAAACUCUGUUGUUAGAGAAGAACAAGGACGUUAGUAACCGAACGUCCCCUGACGGUAUCUAACCAGAAAGCCACGGCUAACUACGUGCCAGCAGCCGCGGUAAUACGUAGGUGGCAAGCGUUGUCCGGAUUUAUUGGGCGUAAAGCGAGCGCAGGCGGUUUCUUAAGUCUGAUGUGAAAGCCCCCGGCUCAACCGGGGAGGGUCAUUGGAAACUGGGAGACUUGAGUGCAGAAGAGGAGAGUGGAAUUCCAUGUGUAGCGGUGAAAUGCGUAGAUAUAUGGAGGAACACCAGUGGCGAAGGCGGCUCUCUGGUCUGUAACUGACGCUGAGGCUCGAAAGCGUGGGGAGCAAACAGG
rnacentral:rRNA from 2 species